rnacentral:rRNA from 1 species
GAUGAACGCUGGCGGCGUGCUUAACACAUGCAAGUCGAGCGAACAGAUGAGAAGCUUGCUUCUCUGAUGUUAGCGGCGGACGGGUGAGUAACACGUGGGUAACCUACCUAUAAGACUGGGAUAACUCCGGGAAACCGGGGCUAAUACCGGAUAAUAUUUUGAACCGCAUGGUUCAAUAGUGAAAGACGGUUUCGGCUGUCACUUAUAGAUGGACCCGCGCCGUAUUAGCUAGUUGGUAAGGUAACGGCUUACCAAGGCGACGAUACGUAGCCGACCUGAGAGGGUGAUCGGCCACACUGGAACUGAGACACGGUCCAGACUCCUACGGGAGGCAGCAGUAGGGAAUCUUCCGCAAUGGGCGAAAGCCUGACGGAGCAACGCCGCGUGAGUGAUGUAGGUCUUCGGAUCGUAAAACUCUGUUGUUAGGGAAGAACAAAUUUGUUAGUAACUGAACAAGUCUUGACGGUACCUAACCAGAAAGCCACGGCUAACUACGUGCCAGCCGCCGCCGUAA